rnacentral:ncRNA from 1 species
GUUCAAAUGAGGAAGGGCUUAUGGUGGAUACCUAGGCACCCAUAGACGAGGAAGGGUGUGGUAAGUGACGAAAUGCUUCGGGGAGUUGAAAAUGAGCAUAGAUCCAGAGAUUCCCGAAUAGGUUAACCUUUUUAACUGCUGCUAAAUCCAUGGGCAGGCAAGAGACAACCUGGCAAACUGAAACAUCUUAGUAGCCAGAGUAAUAGAAAGCAAAAGAGAUUCCCGUAGUAGCAGCGAGUCAAAUGGGAGCAGCCUAAACCGUGAAAACGGGGUUGUGGGAGAGCACAAUAUAAGCUCUGUGCUGCUAGGUGAAGCGGUUGAGUUCUGCACCCUAGAUGGUGAGAGUCCAGUAGCCAAAAGAAUCAUUGGGUUACGCUCUAACCCGAGUAGCAUGGGGCAUGUGGAAUCCC